rnacentral:rRNA from 1 species
UACGAAGGGGGCUAGCGUUGUUCGGAAUUACUGGGCGUAAAGGGCGCGUAGGCGGCGUGUCAAGUCAGGCGUGAAAGCCCCGGGCUCAACCUGGGAACCGCGCUUGAGACUGGCAUGCUCGAGUUCGGGAGAGGAUGGUGGAAUUCCCAGUGUAGAGGUGAAAUUCGUAGAUAUUGGGAAGAACACCGAUGGCGAAGGCGGCCGACUGGGCCGACCCUGACGCUGAGGCGCGAAGGCGUGGGGAGCGAACGGG